GGGAGGGGAGGGGAUAGCGAGCAGUCCUGUUAUACACUGCCAGGCCACCCGCGACCAGAGUAGUAAUGGCGGCAGCUGAUGACGUAACGGUUGCUAGGAGGAGUCUAGCAGACUAGUCGGGAAGCCAGCAAUGAAGCUAUUGAACUUUUGGUUUCAGGAAAAGUGAUAUUUCCUCUGAUGAAGGUGGGGCAUUUGAGCACCAGUAUGCAUCUCUGUGACUGUGGACCUAUGUGAGCAGCUUCCUCACACUCUGGAGACACUCCUGCCGUCAUGUUUCCCUUACCCUGACAGACUGUUCCCUUACACCACUGGCUAAAAUAAAUCCUUCCUUAAGUUGCCUUUGUUAGGUAA